rnacentral:ncRNA from 2 species
ACUGAGGAGCGUUGCGACAGGUUUUCCUGCCAGGCUCAGUAGAUUGAAGGACAAUUUAAAUACAACGGCGCUCAGUCAUC